rnacentral:lncRNA from 1 species
CGGUUUUCCCACCACCUCCAAAUCAUGGAAGACACAGGGUGCAGGCAGAACCCCCGGAGCCAUGGCCAGCCCUUCCGGCAGCUCCGAAGCCACUGGCAAGCCCCGAGGCAGGGAUGGCCGGCCCAGGAGGGAGGAGGACGACGUCCCUCCCGAGGAGAAGAGGCUGCGGCUGUUGCUGGAGGGGGGAAGCGCACAGCCCGAGGACGGGGAGGACGCGCCGCGGCCGGGCAGGAAGGAGACCGGCACCCAGACAGGUGGCGACGGCAGAGGAAUAACCUUCACUCUUCUCUGCAACGAAUCCCAAAAGUAUGUAGUUGAGCUGACUG